AUUUGACUUCGUAAGUCACCCUCUUUCCUUUUAAUUUAUUAAAUUAUUACAAAUUUUCUUAAAUUUUUUAUUAUUUUGAAGUUUAUCAGUUUUAAUAGCAUUACUGAAAAAAGUAAUUAGAUGCUUGGGUUGGCAUAGUUCAGGGGUAGCUAUGUAGUUAUGUAUAUUAAACUUGAGAUCAGGCUAGAAAGUCCCCCCUCCAACACUAUAAUAAAA
rnacentral:misc_RNA from 1 species